GGAGGGGGGAGGGGCUGGGCCGCUCUCUGCCGGGGUGCGGCUCGCCAGGUCCCCUUGCUCUUCGCGACCCUCCCUUUUUUGUUCCUUUCCCUUCCGGUAUCCUCGCCACCCCCAGCCCCCCGUUUCGUGGGGCGAGCACUGCCCGCCCGCCGCCCAGCGCUUCCGUCCCGCGGGUGUCCAGGCCAGAGAGCCGGCCUCCAGCUGCUUUUUGGUGACUCCGAGGCGCGCAUGCUCAGCCGGGCCUUCCUGGGCCCCCGCCCCCCCCCUUCCCGACUCCCUUCUUCCCGGUUCCGUGCCCCCAGCCCCGGGAUCGAGUAGGCACCGGGGCGCAGGGACCCGCGCACCUGGCGGCGGGCGCGGCGCGUCCCGUGUGCGCCGUGGGUCCCAUGGCCGAGCUCGGCCCGGAGCGCAGGACUUGGCCGCGAGCGCUCCGUGUCCCGGGCCCGCCCACGUGAUCCGGGGUGUGGCGUCCCCUCCCUCCCUAAUCCGCUGAAAGCCCUGGCGCCUCCGGGGAACUGAUCUGGCUGGCCACCAGGAUGUGAAUCCAGACUCACGAGGGUCCAGGAUGCCAGACUUCUACUCUAUGGCCAAGGGGAGAAGCGUUUAAAUGUGUUGGCCUCGUUGGACCCUCAGCCGACUUUCUGUGUGUGCGUCUGUUUGCGGGCCGGUGGGAGUUUGCCUGGUGGUCAAUUCCAGAUCCCCCUCCCCAUGAGCUGCCCGCCAGUUCUUUUCUUUUUACCUUUCCAACUCAUUUCUGCAUGUUUACCAGAUGGUGAUUGGAAGUCCGUGUUAACCAAAAGCCUGGGGCGUAACGGGGUGUUGGAAUUUCCAGAAAUGGGGCUGGAGAUUCUGUUUGGGGCAGAGACUUUUGCCUUUUCAUGGGUAGAUUUAGUUGGCUUGUUUUUGACGGGGUGAUGGCUUUAGCUGGAUUCAUUCUUGGGCGUUGUUUAUUGCUUCACUCUUUGUCCUAGGUGACUGAUGAUUCUAGAGGCGCUUUUAUCAGUGGAAGACUUCUGGGGAAAUACCACACAGAUUGAGGCUUGGAGGGAGGGGCAGGAAGCCAGGAGCCCAGGAGUAGCUUUGCAUGGAGUUUGGCAAGGGUGGAGACCAGAUCUGAUCCGUUGAAGAAAUUCUACAUUGGAGGCAGUCAAGAUUCCCCAAAAAUGUGCAGAACAGGAGCCCUGGGGACACUUGGGCCAAGUACCCAAACAAAAUACAGGCUGUCCUGAGGGUUUUGGAAUGGCAAAGAGGGAUGGGGGCCAGGGAGCUGCUGCCCCGAGACGUAGUAUUUGGGGGAGGUUGCAUAAGCAGGUAAGAAAGAACCAGGCAUGGCUUUGUUGACAUAAGAGAAGCCAUUUUUGGCCUGAGCCAUUUUGGGAUCUAAGCCUGGCCACCAUGCUUGCCCUUGAACAGGUCUUGGUAAUGAAUGAUUUUUUUUUUAAUUAAUUUUUAUUGGAGUAUAGCUGCUUUACAGUGUUGUGUUAGUUUCUGCUGUACAGCAAAGUGAAUCAGUUUUACGUAUACAUAUAUCCACUCUUUUCUGGAUUUCCUUCCCAUUUAGGUCACCAGAGAGCACUGAGUUCCCUGUGCUCUACAGUAGGUUCUCAUUAGUUAUCUAUUUUAUACAUAGUAUCAAUAGUGUAUAUAUGUCCAUCCCAAUCUCCCAAUUCAUCCCACACCCCCCUUCCCCCUUGGUAUCCAUAUGUUUGUUCUCUACAUCUGUGUCUCUCUUUCUGCUUUGUAAAUAAGUUCAUCUGUAUCUUUUUUCUAGAUUCCACAUUUGUUUUUCUCUUUUGGACUUGCUUCACUUUGUAUUACAGUCUCUAGGUCCAUCCAUGUCUCUGCAAAUAGCACAAUUUCGUUCUUUUUUAUGGCUGAGUAAUAUUCCAUUGUAUAUAUGUACCACAUCUUCUUUGUCCGUUCUUCUGUUGAUAGACAUUUGGGUUGCUUCCAUGUCUUGGCUAUUGUAAAUGGUGCUGCAGUGAACAUUGGGGGGGGGGGGUACAUGUCUCUUUUUGAAUUAUGGUUUUCUCUGGCUAUAUGCCCAGGAGUGGGAUUGCUGGAUCAUAUGGUAGUUCUAUUUUUAGUUUCUCGAGGAACCUCCAUCCUGUUCUCCAUAGUAACUGCACCAACUUAACAUUCCCACCAACAGUGUAGGAGGGUUCCUUUUUCUCCACACCUUCUCCAGGAUUUAUUGUUUGUAGAUUUUUUGCUGAUGCCCAUUCUGACCAUGAGGUUAUAACCUCAUUGUAGUUUUGAUUUGCAUUUCUCUAAUGGUCAUUAAUGAUCUUAAGGGAACCAAGGAGCAAACUGUUAUCAGGCAAGAGAAGGAACAAUAGCAAAGAUAACAAACCAGUGGUAAAGUCUCCCAGUUCUGUUUCAGUGGUGAAGAUUAGUCUGAAGCCUCAACUACCAGAUCCACUGGGACCUAAAGGAGGAGGAUGAUAUAGACCUUUUCUGACCCUGUGACUUCAAUCAAGCCCCCUCAUGAAUAUGCAUGUACCCUGAGAUUAAAGCUUCCCCGGGAAACACUGCUUUGGGAAAGGUCCCCUGUGUUCUCCCUACUUGCUGCAAAUGAUAAAUCCUUCUCCUGA